UUUAUCGUGAUUCGUCAGUGACAAAUUGCAAUAUGGCCGUCACAAUUGAACUGAAAUUGAAAAAAAUCUGCGAUGGUCUCGACGGAUCUGAAGGGCCGUCAAUACAAAUACAAAGGGAGACUUCUACGCGGUGGCACCCAUGCCAACUUUGGAAGAUGGGAGGGUCGAAGAAGCAUCUCAGUUUUUGGACAAGAUUGCCGGAAAUUUACAUAAAGUAAAUUUAGAUACUGGUGAACACAAGGUCGUAUGCACGCCUCCAUUUGACGAUUAUGGUGGAAUCUGGGUGCCAAUCUGACAAAACUGGGAAUAUUUGGAUAGCUGAUAUGAGACUUGGGAUACUAAGUAUUCACCCGAAGACGGCAAAUGCCAACAAUUGAGCAAAGUCGACAGCUCGAGGAAUGCCCUAAAUGGUUGUAAUGAUCUCGUCUUUGAUAAAGAUGGAGAUCUUUGGGUAACAGGUCCCGGAAGUCCAAUUGCACUGCACAUUCAGCCGAAGACAGAACAUCAAUAUUUCAGAAACCUUCCGGCCGUUUAUACUUUCUUGAAAAAGGAAACACAAUUCCAGUUGCAAUGGAUGAAACAUUUAGAUUUUGUAAUGGUAUUGCUAUCCACGACAAUUUGCUGCUUGUUGCUGAGACAAUGACCAGAAGCAUUAUUGCAUUUGAUGUUGUGUCGUCCGGUAAAUUAUCUAACAGAAGGGUUUGGGCAACGUUACCAAAAGCUGAUUACGACAAUCCAAUGAAUGUUGGGGGACCAGAUGGAAUGGAUUUUGAUGUCAAUGGAAAUUUACUUGUAGCACACCACGGAGGUGGUCAUCUGGAAGUAUUUUCAGCAAACGGAGUUUUAAAAACCAGAAUUCAAUGCCCGUUCAAACAAACAAGUAACUUACAUUUCAAACCUGCUUCUCGAACCUGCUAUGUUACUGAACAUGACUUUAACGGAGUUUGGGAGUUCGAGUGGGAAUGCGAGGGAAUGCCCAUGUAUCACUUCACAAGUCAAUGACCUGGUUUUUGUCUUUCACAUAUCGUGUUUAUCGUUAAGUUAUUUGCGACAAAACCCAAUAACUUGUUAGCAUUAACUUGCUAAAAUUACAGUAUUGAUACUGUUAAGCACUUUCAA